rnacentral:misc_RNA from 1 species
AACUUUCAGCAACGGAUCUCUUGGCUCUCGCAUCGAUGAAGAACGCAGCGAAACGCGAAAUGUAUUGUGAAUUGCAGAAUUAUAGUGAAUCCUCGAAUCUUUGAACGCAUCUUGCGCCCGGUGGCAUUCCGCCGGGCAUGCCUGUCUGAGUGUCCUUACUAUCUCAACCCCAGUGACUUUGUCAAGUUGCCGAGUGGAUUGGAACGUGGGCCAGGCAGGAACUUCUGCCGGUCUUAAAUGGAGUAGGCUAACCGAACAUGCAGCGGGUUGAUCGAGUGUUGUAGAGUCGCCUCACUUGGGACGCUGAUCGGAUUGGCUGAAUUGUAAUUACAAUUGAAUUACUCGAGCGAUUUAGACCUCAGAUCAGGUAGGAUUACCCGCUGAACUUAAGCAUAUCAAUAAGCGGAGGCU